AUGAUUGGUGCUUGCAUCAUGAAUUACAUUUGAGUGAGUGGCGAACUGGUGAGUAACACGUGGGAAACCUGCCCAGAAGCGGGGGAUAACACCUGGAAACAGAUGCUAAUACCGCAUAACAACUUGGACCGCAUGGUCCGAGUUUGAAAGAUGGCUUCGGCUAUCACUUUUGGAUGGUCCCGCGGCGUAUUAGCUAGAUGGUGAGGUAACGGCUCACCAUGGCAAUGAUACGUAGCCGACCUGAGAGGGUAAUCGGCCACAUUGGGACUGAGACACGGCCCAAACUCCUACGGGAGGCAGCAGUAGGGAAUCUUCCACAAUGGACGAAAGUCUGAUGGAGCAACGCCGCGUGAGUGAAGAAGGGUUUCGGCUCGUAAAACUCUGUUGUUAAAGAAGAACAUAUCUGAGAGUAACUGUUCAGGUAUUGACGGUAUUUAACCAGAAAGCCACGGCUAACUACGUGCCAGCAGCCGCGGUAAUACGUAGGUGGCAAGCGUUGUCCGGAUUUAUUGGGCGUAAAGCGAGCGCAGGCGGUUUUUUAAGUCUGAUGUGAAAGCCUUCGGCUCAACCGAAGAAGUGCAUCGGAAACUGGGAAACUUGAGUGCAGAAGAGGACAGUGGAACUCCAUGGUC
rnacentral:rRNA from 2 species